rnacentral:lncRNA from 1 species
UGGAUGAGAAUUGGAUGCCUCUUGUAGACCAUCUCUUGGUUCAGUCUGGUCUAGCCACAUGCACUUGAGACUUAUACACAUGAGAGAAGUCAAUUUCUUCAGUACAUGCAGUGAGGUAUUUAGCUUUGUCUGAUGUUCAGAGACCUAAGCAACUUUACCGGAUCAAUAAGAACACUCAGCCUUCCCUGGACUUCUCCCUUUUGGCAGCUCCAGAGCUUUAACAUUUCACGUGGAGUGGAUCUGGCUCCAGAUUUCCAGGACACUGAAAUGAAGACUGGUAGAGCUUGUGAUGAUGUCAGUAACAUAGAGAGAGAGAGAAGAGGGGAGAGAGACAUUCAUCUUACAUGGCUGAAACUUAAAAGGCAUCUCUCCAGGUCUAAGAAAAUUGUGCAGGAGAGCCCCAGGGCAUGGUGCAUGCUACCUGGCCAGCCAAGAGGAGGAGAAGAAAAGAAGAUGUGAUGGAUUUCUAUGACACAAGAAACUCCUCUCAGAUUUGCCCCUUUCCCUACUAUUGAUUAAUCACCCACAGUAAACUCUUCAGAGUAAACUCUGCAUGUAUCUUCCUGUCUUCCAGUAGACUCCAUCAGUUAGAAAGUAAGCUUUA